GACAGAGGGUGCAAACGUUGUUCGGAAUUACUGGGCGUAAAGCGUGUGUAGGCGGUCUCAUAAGUCGGACGUGAAAUCCCCAGGCUCAACCUGGGAACUGCAUCCGAUACUGGAUGGCUUGAAUUCGGGAGAGGGAUGCAGAAUUCCAGGUGUAGCGGUGAAAUGCGUAGAUAUCUGGAGGAAUACCGGUGGCGAAGGCGGCAUCCUGGACCGACAUUGACGCUGAGGAGCGAAAGCCAGGGGAGCAAACGGG
rnacentral:rRNA from 1 species